rnacentral:siRNA from 1 species
UAAGCCCGGGCUUUUGAUACGCU